GAUGAACGCUGGCGGCGUGCCUAAUACAUGCCAGUCGAGCGAACAGACGAGGAGCUUGCUCCUCUGACGUUAGCGGCGGACGUGUGAGUAACACGUGGAUAACCUACCUAUAAGACUGGGAUAACUUCGGGAAACCGGAGCUAAUACCGGAUAAUAUAUUGAACCGCAUGGUUCAAUAGUGAAAGACGGUUUUGCUGUCACUUAUAGAUGGAUCCGCGCCGCAUUAGCUAGUUGGUAAGGUAACGGCUUACCAAGGCAACGAUGCGUAGCCGACCUGAGAGGGUGAUCGGCCACACUGGAACUGAGACACGGUCCAGACUCCUACGGGAGGCAGCAGUAGGGAAUCUUCCGCAAUGGGCGAAAGCCUGACGGAGCAACGCCGCGUGAGUGAUGAAGGUCUUCGGAUCGUAAAACUCUGUUAUUAGGGAAGAACAAAUGUGUAAGUAACUAUGCACGUCUUGACGGUACCUAAUCAGAAAGCCACGGCUAACUACGUG
rnacentral:rRNA from 1 species